rnacentral:snRNA from 1 species
GAAUCCGGGCUAGAAGCGACGCAU